UCUCUCUUGGCAUAGUGGUAAGUAUGUCGGCUUGUCGCGCCGAAGACGCGAGUUCGAUUCUCGUAGAGAGAG
rnacentral:tRNA from 1 species